rnacentral:tRNA from 1 species
GUGGGGAUGGCAGAUGAAUGCAUUCGGUUUAAGCUCGGGUCAUGGGUUUUUUGGCCCUCCUCACU